rnacentral:rRNA from 1 species
AGCUCCUCGAGUGGUGGGGAUGAUUAUUUGGCCUAAAGCGUUCGUAGCCGGCUCGUCAAGUCUCUCGUUAAAUCCAGCGUCCUAAGCGUUGGCCUGCGAGGGUGACUGUCGAGCUAGAGGGUGGGAGAAGUCAGCGGUAUUCCUGGGGUAGGGGCGAAAUCCAUUGAUCCCAGGAGGACCACCAGUGGCGAAGGCUGCUGACUAGAACACGCCUGACGGUGAGGGACGAAAGCUGGGGGAGCGAAUCGGAUUAGAUACCCGAGUAGUCC